CAUGGUUCAGACACUCUACAUUUUCAAAAACACUGACAUGCAACCUUAAAGUGACAGUCCCAUAAUUAAGAAAACGAACCGAAACUAAAUACUUCCAAUUCUUUAUACAAUGCAUCAACAACCAUCACAAACCUAACCUCGAAAAAUCAAUCCUCUCAAAUACUGGGACCCGAUUUUAGAUGAACACCUGGUUCGAAAUCAAGAGACAACAGGCAAAGUAGGCGGAGACGAAACUUAAGAGUUGGUAUCAAUAAAACGCGCACUUUCAAUCUCAACAUAACACAAGAGGAAUCAUUUGCCUGCUAGGCAAUAAACAUUAUGAAGUCUUCGUUUUUGGAGAUCAGGCGAAAAAGCGUGCAACCGCUUCCUGGGUCCUACCUCUGUCUGUAACAAAACAGUUGUUUUCAAGACACAGGAAGGCCAAGAGAUGCAUCACAGCCAGGCAUGCAGUGAGGACAGGGGCAGAUGGCAG